GACGAACGCUGGCGGCGUGCUUAACACAUGCAAGUCGAACGGAAAGGCCCUGCUUUUGUGGGGUGCUCGAGUGGCGAACGGGUGAGUAACACGUGAGUAACCUGCCCUUGACUUUGGGAUAACUUCAGGAAACUGGGGCUAAUACCCCAUAGGAGCUCCUGCUGCAUGUUGUGGGUUGGAGAGAUUCGGCGGUAGGGGCUGGACUCGCGGCUUAUCCGCUUGUUUGUGGGGUAGUGGCUUACCAAGGCUUUGACGGGUAGCCGGCCUGAGAGGGUGAACGGCGACAUUGGGACUGAGAGACGGAGCAGACUCCUACGGGAGGCAGCAGUGGGGAAUAUGGCACAAUGGGCGGGAGCCUGAUGUAGCAACGCCGGGUGCGGGAUGACGGCCUUCGGGUUGUAAACAGCUUUCGCCUGUGACGAAGCGGGAGUGACGGUAAUGGGUAAAGAAGCACCGGCUAACUACGUG
rnacentral:rRNA from 1 species